ACCUAGAGUUGUAGGGCUUUGCCUGCUAUCUCUUACCCAUGUCUUUUGAGUACUUUUGUUUCCUCGGCGGGUCCGCCCGCCGAUUGGACAAUUUAAACCAUUUGCAGUUGCAAUCAGCGUCUGAAAAACUUUAAUAGUUACAACUUUCAACAACGGAUCUCUUGGUUCUGGCAUCGAUGAAGAACGCAGCGAAAUGCGAUAAGUAGUGUGAAUUGCAGAAUUCAGUGAAUCAUCGAAUCUUUGAACGCACAUUGCGCCCCUUGGUAUUCCAUGGGGCAUGCCUGUUCGAGCGUCAUUUGUACCUUCAAGCUUUGCUUGGUGUUGGGUGUUUGUCUCGCCUCUGCGUGUAGACUCGCCUUAAAACAAUUGGCAGCCGGCGUAUUGAUUUCGGAGCGCAGUACAUCUCGCGCUUUGCACUCAUAACGACGACGUCCAAAAGUACAUUUUUACACUCUUGACCUCGGAUCAGGUAGGGAUACCCGCUGAACUUAAGCAUAUCAAUAAGCGGAGGAAAA
rnacentral:rRNA from 1 species